GGGUUAUGGGUCUGAUGAUACAGCAUAAUUGUAUUUGAUUUAGUUUUAUCUAUAAUCUUGCUUCACCUACCUAUACUAUAAUAUUAUACCUGUAUAGGAUGAAUUUUAAGCAUGGAAAAACAUUUAGGCCUUAUCAAGAAUGUUUAUUGAGUAGCAAAACUUUUGGUAAAUAAAUUAAACUGAAAAUAAUGCUUUGUUGAAAGUUUUAUAAAUUAAAUCACUAAUAGUGUAACUGCUUGCAAUUGAAAUCUCCAUUAUAACAGUUAUGCCCAGAAUGCCUUGUCUAUGGUAGUCAUUGUGAUUGUUUACUUGUACAUGUAUGGUCUCAGACGAUUCCUCAUGAUUUAUGCAUUGAAGUUCCACAGUCAUUAAUCAUGUAGUCUAAGUAUUAUUUGCUACAUGGUAUUAUAAUGUUUAGUAAAGCUGCAUAAUGCAUGUUGUAAUGUUACUAUAGGUUCAUAACACAAAAUUAUUCCCUUUUUAAAAAUACAUGUAUCCAUUGCCUCAUUUUUGUGUUCCUUAAUUGACACCUAUUUUGUAUAUCUUUGUCUCUUGAUGUCUCUUUCUCUCUUUUGCCUUUCUCUCCUCCUCAUGUAUAUGUAUACUGUAUGUCUAACUCUUGCUCUUUCUUUUUUCUUCUCUAGGUAUACCUCUCAGUCUCACAUGUCUUCACUCUUUCUCGCGUUAGCGCAAGCAUAACUGCAUUGUCUGUUGAGGUCCCAUCAAAUGCACUUGCUGAAAUAUCUGGCAAAUAUUGUGGGAACAGAAACACAUGCUAACAAACGUUGUGGAGAAUGGAAAGACAAAUACUUGCCAAUUAAUGAUAAAAGAAAUGCCUAAUUUGAAGAAGAUGUGUCAAGAUGAACUCAAACAAUGGAACAUUUUAUAUAAUUUCUGUACUUGUUGGAUGGGCUGAAGCAUUAAUAAUGUGUCUCCAUAUCUUGUUAUGCCAAGCUUAGGACUGAUGUCAUCAUUAAGUCUUAGAUUCAAGCAAUAUCAAGUCGUAUUUACCUCUUCAUAUUUGAGUGAAAAGACAUCAAGAUCACAUUACAAACAUUGUUCUUUUUUAAUAAAAAUAAUUUU
rnacentral:lncRNA from 1 species